rnacentral:tmRNA from 1 species
GGGGACGACUUGGCUUCGACGUGGGUUGCAAAGCAGUGUAGGGCAUACCGAGGACCCGCCACCUCGUAAAUCAGCUGGAAAAAACUAGUCGCAAACGACGAAAACUACGCUUUAGCCGCUUAGUCGGCUGAACCUCACACCCUGCUGUCCAUGGAGGGGCUC